rnacentral:lncRNA from 1 species
CUGACUAUGAGCAGUCCUCUUUGCUCUAUGAUUGACUCAGAACAGAGUAAUGGAUAAUGGAAUUGUCAAGUGGUACUCUUAAUCAUGACUUAGGGGCCCACCUUAAUCUCUUUCUGACAAUAUGUUCAUUACCCUUAUUGUCUCUGAGUGUUCAGAGCUUUUGCUGUUGCCAAUGUUGGUGCUACCAUUCCAGGAGUCUCUGAGGUCCACAACUAGUAUCAUUUUUCUACUUGCUCCUGGCAACACACAACCUCAUGUCACAGACUAUUCCUUCUGACCUAACACAGAAAUUGGGACUCCAGCAAGUUCAAUGACCAAUUACCCUAGAUGGCAGACUAUCUAUCUUCCGUAUUCAACCUUGAUUAGCUGUAAACAGCUGUCUGAAAGGUUUAUUAUUAUUAGGAUUAACUGGAAUAUAUGGUCAACUGACUUGAAAGGGUCAAUAAUCGAUAUACCAUUUUGGCAAGAAGGCAAUGAGAAGGGAAAAAAAAUUCCUUCUUCAACGGUUACAAAAGGGAAUAUAGAUCAAGAGAGAAUGAAAAGGAAGUAAUCUUCAAAAUAUAUUUUUGUUACUGGACAAAUGAGGAAGAAAAAGAGAAGUAUUGCAUUGAUAGCAACAGAGACCCUUGACAUCAUAAUAUAGUUGAAAGAAUAAAGUAGAUUAUAAGAUUAAUAAACA